UUAUUCACGGCCGAAAGCACGUACUUGCUACUUCUGUUGGGAAUCAGAAAGACCGACAUUUAUGCUUUGGUAGGGGCGCGCAUGCACGCUGCUCUAGUGCGCUGGAAGAAACUAGUUGUGCACUGAAUUGAUGUACGAGGCAGCGAAAAAAAGGUAUUCACCAGAGCUGACGCGGUUUAUUGUGCACUCAGGCCUAACCUUAAAAUUGCUUUUGUGGGAUCGGAAGCAGCGUCA